CCUCAACUCCGAAACGAAGCCUAAAAUUUCUUUUAAUCAAGGAAUGGUCAGUUGUUAACUAAAGAGGGGCAAAAUUGUCUGUUAAUUAAAAUUUGCUCUGGAACCUAAAUUUUAGUCUUCCUGAGUCCUUGGAUCCGUACUUCCGUCUUGACCUCUCUCCGUUGUCUGCGUCUGGAUUCGCCGUCUCCACCGGAACCGCGUUUGCUUCCGCCAAACCAUUAUGGCAUCCGCAUCUGUCAUCCGUCAUUCCAGCAACACAUCUGGCAUGACCGGAGAUAUUUGUUUAGGCUACCUCGCUUUAAAAACCCUAUCUUCUUUCCUACCAUCUCCCAGUCUCUCCUCUCCCCUCCCCUCCCCACAACAAAAGGGUUCUGGGUUUACAAAACUUAAGGAGAAUCACUCCUCAGAAGCCACCGCAGAGGUUUAAUAUAACCAAAAAACAUGAAAAUGAUAUUUUCAUGUUGGAUCAACAUAAUUGCCAUCGUGGCAGCAGCACGUAAUGGUUUCCUCACCAUCCCCGCCGUGGCAGCUGCCGCCGCCCCCAUCCCCGCAGAUUUUGAUGACCGCAUCAUCAUUGAUAUUUCUCGAACAAUGAGGAAUGGCAUGGCCACCUUUGGUUCUGUGACCGGUGCUCGGAAUUUAACAACUGAAAUCUUUGGCGGCCCUUAUAUAGAUGGUAUUCUCAAUAUCGGCACUCAUUAUGGCACCCAUGUUGAUUCCCCUUCACACAUUUUCCCGGAGCAGUUACUUCACCAGGUCCUGUUUUGGUCGUUCAGACUCCAAAUGGUGUAAAUAUAACUGGUCAAGUCAUUGACUCUUUGAAAAUUCCUAGAGGAGUAAAGCGUGUAAUUUUUAAGACACAAAACACUUACAGGAAGCUGAUGGAUCAACAAAAGUUUGAAGGAAAUUUUACAGGAUUUACGGUAGGUGGGGCACGGAGAUUGGUUCAGAAGACUGAUGUCACAUUUGUUGGAAUUGAUUACAUGUCUGUUGCUGUAGAAGGUCAAAUUGUCGGUGUUCACAAAAUCUUCUUAGGAGCAUCCAGGGUAAGGUUAUGUUUCUUCAAUUCUUCAUCCAGUCUUGAUUUGAGUCCCUACGAAACCGUCAGCUAAAAGAUAUCAGCAAGGCCAAUAACUUAUUUUUGCUAAUGUCACAUUACUAAGAAUGGGGACAGGUACGGUUAUGUUAGAUGAAGUUGUGUACAGUUAUUAUAUUUGUUACAUGUUUUGAGGUACCCUUUCUACAUGUGAAUUUUUUUUCUGCUCCUUUUCUUUUCCCUGCCAAAGUGUUGAAUUUUGUUACUUAAAGUAAAAUUGUUUAUAUAUAUGUACACCAAAUAUUGUAAGAAUACAACAACCUGACACAACUUCAUCUGCCCCAUGUCCAUAUUAGUGAGUGAAAUUCCCUUGCUCUCCCCAAAAACAUUUAGCGCACAUUGUUGAAUUAAUGGGCGCCCUAGGAAGACAAAGGUUUCUGAGCUGAAAUUCAUGAACUUAAUACCAAAUUGGCCAAAAAAAAACAUGUUUUUUACAUCGAUGUCUUCAAAGGGUUUGAGCCAAUAUAUUUAAAGCAUGAAAGAACUUUUCUGGCGGUUCAUUGUACAAAGCUUAAGCAAACCCCCUCCCCCAAAGAAAGAGCUCCUGCCACUUUGUCCUCUUAUGUCAUGAGCAGUGCAUUAAGUAAAAAUAGUCACUUUUAGGAAAAUUCAUCAUCUUAUAAAUAAACCUCAAUUCGAAUAAGGAUAUCUUCACUGCUAUGACCAUGAUGGACUGUACUGGUUUCUGAUGCCCUUUUUGCUUCAUAAUUGGUACUAAUGCAUUAAUAAGUUGCUUGAAAGAUUUUAUGAAUCCACAAUUUCCUACUCCAACUUGUGCAAAUUUUCAACCACAGAUCAUAUCACACACUAUGCUUCUGUUCUCAACAUUGAGUCUGUUGAGCCAUUUACUUGGUGAAUUUCUCGAGGAUGGGAGAAUUCCUCAAGCAUGUUCUAUAGUUAGUAGUGUGACUAAUGUGGCUGAAUCACUAGGGCAUUAUUCCAGUCGAAAACUUGAAACUUGACGAGGUUGAACCAGGAUGCUACACGGUCUACUGUUUACCGUUAAGGGUGCUGGCAGAGGCAGGACCAGCAAGGUGCAUUCUUGUGAAAUAAACAAUUCCUUUGGAGCCAAGAGUAGAUGUUAUCCCUCAAGGUCUUGUCAUGGAAUAUGGUCGCGAUCCAAUGGCUAUCUUCUAGAGGUCUUCUCAAGCAACCUGCACUUGGCUGGUGGACUCUUAACUUGUUUGAUUUGCAACUAUGAUCGGCAAGCACAGGCCUCGGGCACUAUCUUCGCGUCAGUAUGCGCACACUGAUAAUAUAGCUUGGGGAGGCAGGGCCCUUUUGUUUUUUUUGGUAAUUAACAUGUUUGUGUUUCCAGGGAAACUUCACCAUUGUUAGUUAACACUUGAUUAAUUCACGCAUACACCAGAGCUCCUCUUGCUCGCUUGUUCUUAUUCAUUUCUUUCUUUUAAUUCUGCUUUGUUGGUACAAUAAUACAGGGCCUCCAUCUCUUCUUUUGGAUAGCA